rnacentral:rRNA from 1 species
GCGAGCGGCGGAUGGGUGAGUAACACGUGGGGAACCUGCCCCAUAGUCUGGGAUACCACUUGGAAACAGGUGCUAAUACCGGAUAAGAAAGCAGAUCGCAUGAUCAGCUUUUAAAAGGCGGCGUAAGCUGUCGCUAUGGGAUGGCCCCGCGGUGCAUUAGCUAGUUGGUAAGGUAAAGGCUUACCAAGGCGAUGAUGCAUAGCCGAGUUGAGAGACUGAUUGGCCACAUUGGGACUGAGACACGGCCCAAACUCCUACGGGAGGCAGCAGUAGGGAAUCUUCCACAAUGGACGCAAGUCUGAUGGAGCAACGCCGCGUGAGUGAAGAAGGUUUUCGGAUCGUAAAGCUCUGUUGUUGGUGAAGAAGGAUAGAGGUAGUAACUGGCCUUUAUUUGACGGUAAUCAACCAGAAAGUCACGGCUAACUACGUGCCAGCAGCCGCGGUAAUACGUAGGUGGCAAGCGUUGUCCGGAUUUAUUGGGCGUAAAGCGAGCGCAGGCGGAAGAAUAAGUCUGAUGUGAAAGCCCUCGGCUUAACCGAGGAACUGCAUCGGAAACUGUUUUUUCUUGAGUGCAGAAGAGGAGAGUGGAACUCCAUGUGUAGCGGUGGAAUGCGUAGAUAUAUGGAAGAACACCAGUGGCGAAGGCGGCUCUCUGGUCUGCAACUGACGCUGAGGCUCGAAAGCAUGGGUAGCGAACA